GAUGAACGCUGGCGGCGUGCCUAAUACAUGCAAGUCGAGCGAACAGACGAGGAGCUUGCUCCUCUGACGUUAGCGGCGGACGGGUGAGUAACACGUGGAUAACCUACCUAUAAGACUGGGAUAACUUCGGGAAACCGGAGCUAAUACCGGAUAAUAUAUUGAACCGCAUGGUUCAAUAGUGAAAGACGGUUUUGCUGUCACUUAUAGAUGGAUCCGCGCCGCAUUAGCUAGUUGGUAAGGUAACGGCUUACCAAGGCAACGAUGCGUAGCCGACCUGAGAGGGUGAUCGGCCACACUGGAACUGAGACACGGUCCAGACUCCUACGGGAGGCAGCAGUAGGGAAUCUUCCGCAAUGGGCGAAAGCAUGACGGAGCAACGCCGCGUGAGUGAUGAAGGUCUUCGGAUCGGAAAACUCUGUUAUUAGGGAAGAACAAAUGUGUAAGUAACUAUGCACGUCUUGACGGUACCUAAUCAGAAAGCCACGGCUAACUACGUG
rnacentral:rRNA from 1 species